UACGUAGGGUGCAAGCGUUGUCCGGAAUUAUUGGGCGUAAAGAGCUCGUAGGCGGCUUGUCGCGUCGACUGUGAAAACUUGGGGCUCAACCCCAAGCCUGCAGUCGAUACGGGCAGGCUAGAGUUCGGUAGGGGAGACUGGAAUUCCUGGUGUAGCGGUGAAAUGCGCAGAUAUCAGGAGGAACACCGAUGGCGAAGGCAGGUCUCUGGGCCGAUACUGACGCUGAGGAGCGAAAGCGUGGGGAGCGAACAGG
rnacentral:rRNA from 1 species